rnacentral:rRNA from 1 species
GAUGAACGCUGGCGGUGUGCCUAAUACAUGCAAGUCGAGCGAACAGACGGGGAGCUUACUCCUCUGACGUUAGCGGCGGACGGGUGAGUAACACGUGGAUAACCUACCUAUAAGACUGGGAUAACUUCGGGAAACCGGAGCUAAUACCGGAUAACAUGUUGAACCGCAUGGUUCAACAGUGAAAGACGGUCUUGCUGUCACUUAUAGAUGGAUCCGCGUCGCAUUAGCUAGUUGGUAAGGUAACGGCUUACCAAGGCAACGAUGCGUAGCCGACCUGAGAGGGUGAUCGGCCACACUGGAACUGAGACACGGUCCAGACUCCUACGGGAGGCAGCAGUAGGGAAUCUUCCGCAAUGGGCGAAAGCCUGACGGAGCAACGCCGCGUGAGUGAAGAAGGUCUUCGGAUCGUAAAACUCUGUUAUUAGGGAAGAACAAAUGUGUAAGUAACUAUGCACGUCUUGACGGUACCGAAACAGAAAGCCACGGCUAACUACGUG